rnacentral:rRNA from 1 species
UUCGAUCAUGGCUCAGAUUGAACGCUGGCGGGAUGCUUUUACACAUGCAGUCGAACGGCAGCACGGACUUCGGUCUGGUGGCGAGUGGCGAACGGGUGAGUAAUGUAUCGGAACGUGCCUAGUAGCGGGGAUAACACGCGAAAGCGUAGCUAAUACCGCAUACGCCCUUCGGGGAAAAGCGGGGGACCUUCGGGCCUCGCACUAUUAGAGCGGCCGAUAUCGGAUUAGCUAGUUGGUGGGGUAACGGCUCACCAAGGCGACGAUCCGUAGCUGGUUUGAGAGGACGACCAGCCACACUGGGACUGAGACACGGCCCAGACUCCUACCAGGAGGCAGCAGUGGGGAAUUUUGGACAAUGGGGGAAACCCUGAUCCAGCCAUCCCGCGUGUGCGAUGAAGGCCUUCGGGUUGUAAGCACUUUUUGGCAGGAAAGAAACGGCACGGGAUAAUACCCCGUGCAACUGACGGUACCUGCCCAGAAUAAGCACCGGCUAACUACGUGCCAGCAGCCGCGGUAAUACGUAGGGGUGCAAGCGUUAAUCGGAAUUACUGGGCGUAAAGCGUGCGCAGGCGGUUCGGAAAGAAGAUGUGAAAUCCCAGAGCUUAACUUUGGAACUCCAUUUUUAACUUUACCGAGCUAGAGUGUGUCAGAGGGAGGUGGAAUUCCGCGUGUAGCAGUGAAAUGCGUAGAUAUGCGGAGGAACACCAGUGAUGGCGAAGGCAGCCUCCUGGGAUAACACUGACGCUCAUGCACGAAAGCGUGGGGAGCAAACAGGAUUAGAUACCCUGGUAGUCCACGCCUAAACGAUGUCAACUAGCUGUUGGGGCCUUCGGGCCUUGGUAGCGCAGCUAACGCGUGAAGUUGACCGCCUGGAAGUACGGUCGCAAGAUUAAAACUCAAAGGAAUUGACGGGGACCCGCACAAGCGGUGGAUGAUGUGGAUUAAUUCGAUGCAACGCGAAAAACCUUACCUACCCUUGACAUGUCUGGAAUCCCGAAAGAGAUUUGGGAGUGCUCGCAAGAGAACCGGAACACAGGUGCUGCAUGAGGCUGUCGUCAGCUCGUGUCGUGAGAUGUUGGGUUAAGUCCCGCAACGAAACGCAGCCCUUGUCGUGUAGUUGCUACGAAAGGGCACUCUAAUGCGAGACUGCCGGUGACAAACCGGAGGAAGGUGGGGAUGACGUCAAGUCCUCAUGGCCCUUAUGGGUAGGGCUUCACGUCGCCUAAUGAAUUCGGGACAGAGGGUCGCCAACCCGCGAGGGGAGCCAAUCCCAGAAACCCGAUCGUAGUCCGGAUCGCAGUCUGCAACUCGACUGCGUGAAGUCGGAAUCGCUAGUAAUCGCGGAUCAGCAUGUCGCGGUGAAUACGUUCCCGGGUCUUGUACACACCGCCCGUCACACCAUGGGAGUGGGUUUUACCAAGUAGUUAGCCUAACCGUAAGGAGGGCGAUUACCACGGUAGGAUUCAUGACUGGGGUGAAGUCGUAACAAGGUAG